rnacentral:rRNA from 1 species
UACGAAGGGGGCUAGCGUUGCUCGGAAUUACUGGGCGUAAAGCGCACGUAGGCGGCUUUGUAAGUUAGAGGUGAAAGCCCGGGGCUCAACUCCGGAAUUGCCUUUAAGACUGCAUCGCUAGAAUUGUGGAGAGGUAAGUGGAAUUCCGAGUGUAGAGGUGAAAUUCGUAGAUAUUCGGAAGAACACCAGUGGCGAAGGCGACUUACUGGACACAUAUUGACGCUGAGGUGCGAAAGCGUGGGGAGCAACAGG